ACAGCUCAGUAACACGUGGACAAUCUGCCCCCCGGCCCGGGAUAGCCCAGGGAAACCUGGAUUAAUACCGGAUGAGACGGGACCCGCGAUGGCGGGAUCCGGGAAAGGCGCUGCGGCGCCGCCGGGGGAUGAGUCUGCGUCCCAUUAGCUAGACGGCGGGGUAACGGCCCACCGUGGCGACGAUGGGUAGCCGGCCUGAGAGGGUGGACGGCCACAUUGGAACUGAGACACGGUCCAGACUCCUACGGGAGGCAGCAGCUAAGAAUCUUCCGCAAUGGGCGAAAGCCUGACGGAGCGACGCCGCGUGAACGAAGAAGGCCGUGAGGUUGUAAAGUUCUUUUCGGGAGGGGGAACAACCGUGGCAGGGAAUGGCCGCGGGAUGACGUGAAUCCCGGAAUAAGCCCCGGCUAACUACGUGCCAGCAGCCGCGGUAACACGUAGGGGGCGAGCGUUGUUCGGAAUCAUUGGGCGUAAAGGGCGUGCAGGCGGUCCUGCAAGUCCGGCGUGAAAGACCCCGGCCCAACCGGGGGGACGCGCUGGAAACUGCAGGGCUUGAGUACAGGAGGGGAUGCCGGAAUUCCAGGUGUAGGGGUGAAAUCUGUAGAUAUCUGGAAGAACACCAAUGGCGAAGGCAGGCAUCUGGCCAUGUACUGACGCUGAGACGCGAAGGUGCGGGGAGCAAACAGGUUUAGAUACCCUGGUAGUCCGCACAGUAAACGAUGUGCACCAGGUGGCGGGGGGUCGACCCCCGGUACCGUAGCUAACGCAUUAAGUGCACCGCCUGGGGAGUAUGCUCGCAAGGGUGAAACUCAAAGGAAUUGGCGGGGGAGCAC
rnacentral:rRNA from 1 species